UACGAAGGGGGCUAGCGUUGUUCGGAUAUACUGGGCGUAAAGCGCACGUAGGCGGAUUGCUAAGUCAGGGGUGAAAUCCUGGAGCUCAACUCCAGAACUGCCUUUGAUACUGGCGAUCUUGAGUCCGGGAGAGGUGAGUGGAACUGCGAGUGUAGAGGUGAAAUUCGUAGAUAUUCGCAAGAACACCAGUGGCGAAGGCGGCUCACUGGCCCGGUACUGACGCUGAGGUGCGAAAGCGUGGGGAGCAAACAGG
rnacentral:rRNA from 1 species